CUGAUGACUAGGCAUUCAAAUAUAUGAGCCUAUGGGGGCCAUUCUUAUUUAAACCACCAUACAUAGUAUUAUAGAACUUUCUCAGUUGCCCUGUUCCUACACUCACGCUCCAAGAACUCUGCUUUCCUGGCCUUACUCUGUCCUGAGCAUUUACUAUUUGAUAGUAGAGAUGGGCUGUACUCCCACAUUGUGCCAGUCAAUGUAUGUUGCUACCUAACAGUACCCAAGCACAAGAGUAAGGUUCUUUCUUCAUCAUACCUUGUUCUUCAUUUAGGGAUAAGUAAAGGAUGCUGGCACAAAGACAAUGGAGUCCCAGCCAUACUUAAAAGGUAGGAUAAAUAGGGUAUGCAAAUGGAAGAGGACCACUUGAGAGCACAGUAGUCACGACAACUGCAUGGUUAAUACAGAUAGACAUCUGGGCAUGGUAGUGCCUGCUUUUGAUCCCAACACUUGGGAGGCAGAGACAGGGAGAUCUCUGUGAGUUCAAGCCUAGCCUGGUCUACAGAGGGAGUUUCAGGACAGCCAGGAGGAUGUAGUGAGACUUUCUCUCAAAAGGAAAAGAUGAGGAAGCCCAGAUCAAGUGGAGAGCCACACAGCUGAGAUCACUAGCUAGCCAAUGUAUUUGCUGUUCCAUCUGUAUAAAGUCUAUUUAGAAGUAAACCGGCCCUUAUUUGAUUGACAGUGGUUUGGAUUGUCUUUAACAAACUCACAACUACAAGCUAUUAAUUCACAUGAUCAAGUCCCACCAUAGAAUUUGAUUGCUUAGUACCUGGCAGAGGACGGAGAGAAGUCCUUCUGAAAGAAGGCCUGUGAACACCCACACACAUACUUCAAGUUACAUGGGUAGCUUCCUUACUUUCCUAGCUUUGCAACUCUGUGUUAGAAUGUUACACACACACACACACACACACACACACACACACACACACACACACAAAAGCUAGGACAUAGGAAAUCUGAGUGACAUUGUCAUGCUGGAACUAGACCCACCCCCACCCCACCGCCAUGAUCCUUCUGUUGCAUGUUGCUUCCUGGGACUAUCCACCAGGAUUCCACAAAACCAUGUGACUCCCACAUGAAGUCACAGCUAGGGUUCCUGGAGCCAGAAGAAACAAGUGGCACUUGGAAAAUGCAAACACUGUCAUUGCCUCUGCUCCUCAGGGUACAUCUGUGAUCCCAGGACUUGGGAAGCUGACGCAGCAAGAUUGUGAGUUGGAGGUAAAUCUAGACAACAUAGUGAGAGCAUGCCUUACCCAAACUAAGAAAGCCGGGUGACCAAUGGGGGAGAUGGCCCCCAAAAGGCCAAAGAGCGCACUCCAGUUCCAAGAAAUCAAUCCGAUAUUCUAAUGACUGAGAAACCAUGGCUCUGGAAGCCAGGAAUAAAACCCAAUAUAUCCACCCAUUAGAAAAGAGAAGAUUUGAUAAAGAUUUGGGGCUAUUCAACUUCAAAGGUCCUGGCUGCAUAACAAUCACUCCAUCCUCAACUUCUGCGCCAGGAGAGCCUCGAGUGGAAAUAUUUUCUAUCAUCGGGAAAGGAUUCUGUUCGGUGGAAUCAGUUUCUCGAUAAGGCGGUAAUUACUGGAGCAAUUUUAGUAGGUACAAAAGCAUUUUUAACAGUUUUAAUUAUUCAAAAGCCUGACUAAUUAUCUAGUCCAUGGAUCAGAGGCCAAAGGGGGAUAAACCGUAUGAAAAUGGUUACCAUGGCAGGGAGAAGGGAGAACUCAGCCAGCUUCAAAUGGAAAGCUACCCUGUGACUUUGUAGUGAGAACUGUGCCCUGAUGCGUUUGCUGAGGGUGGACACUGGCCUGGGUCUUAGGAGACAUGGAUUCUGAUGCAUCAUUGACCUUCAUCCUAUAUGGACGGACUUUCCCUCAUCAGUAUUAAAGGAUAGGAAUGGACUGUAGUGGGGGGAAACAUACGGCUCUAAAACUCUGUCAGGAGCUGACGAUCUAUAGUUCUGUAGUACUCUGUGUGUGUGUGUGUGUGUGUGUGUGUGCGUGCAUGUGUGUGAGUGUAUCUAUGUACACACAUAUAUGCAUGCCAAAGAGACUGAAGUUACAGGUGUGUGUGAGCUGCCAGACCUGGGUGCUAGAACUCAGGUGCUUUGGAUAAAUAAAAUAAGCUUUCUCCAGCCCAAGGACUAUCUUAAACUACAAAUUUCAUUGCUUUUACCCUCCUGGGGCAAUGAAAACCAGACGUUGUUCCUGAUGUUACAAGAGCCUUGCUCAUAUCUGAAGUACAAAAAGGAGUUGGACAGGCAUGUUGGGUGGGCUAACAUGAGGGGUGACUGGCAGAGUGUGACAGGGCUCCUCUGAUAAUGAGUGUGUUCCUUUACAAAUGUCAACUUCGGGGUGAAGAAAAGCCAUUCUCAUUCCUUGGGCAUUUACAGACCACCUGCUGUAACUGAGUGACUUUCUCAUACUGGAACUAACCUCUGCCCUCCCAACUCACACCCAAAGACCCACAGCCCUUCAGUUGCAUUUUGCUUCCCAGGACGGAAGAGAGUUAUCUUGUGUGUUUCGGAGCCACCACGGGAUUUGAGGAAGAAUGAUUGAAUCUGACAUGGGCGUAAUUAGCCAUAAUACAGGGCAGACUGUGGCCCACCAUGGAGGAACACAAAGCAUUCAGGAAGUUAUACAAAAACGAUUGUUUUAGACUUGAGAGAACAAGAAAAAUCUGGAGGCAGGAGAAACUUGAAAGGAGGAAGUCUGUUUCAAGUGAAGAGGAACUCGGAAGCUGAAGCCGCCGGGAUUUGCUUAACGAUGCUGUCUCUGUACUGUGUCCUGUGCCAGACACUAAGGACAAAGCCAUGACUCCAUCUUCCCCUGACCAGACUGUCCUCAGUGAGUACAAAGGCAGGGCUAAGUGAAGAGAAGAGAUGGUGUUGAUUCCUGUUUAUUCACAAAGACCCCGCGCCUGUUUGUUACAACAACUUAGCAUAACCAGGCUGACCUCCAGCACUGAAUGGCUUGUCUAAACAAUAAGCAGGUAUUUGUCACAUCAGCCACAAGGUGACAUUUCCUCUGAUGGAAGCUAUCAAUACAUCUGAUUCACAUUGAUGGAAUUAUCUUCCACGAAACCACUCAGGCUCCUAGCUACCAGAUGGUACCAAGGUCUCAAUGAGUUUCCAUUGUCUCAAAGAAAAGAAUUAGAAAAUCCAGCCUAGAAUAAGUUAUUGCAAAGAACAGUGGUCUUACCUCAAUGCUGGUCCUGCUUUUUAAGGCGUUCUCCUUCUGUGCCAGGGAAUGUUCUGAGUGUAGCGGAGUAACAAGCUCACUCAAUCUUAGCUGCCCAGAGAUGCCCUCUGUGUGGCCCUUCCCCCAGUCAGCCACUGCUUUGCCUUGCCGAUGGGUUUUCUCUGCCUUCCAGCAUCCACCUUGGAUGGCAACUCCUAAGUACCAGGCACUGAAACACCCCCUCUCUGCAUAGCCCUGCUCUGUUGCAUAGGCACAGAUGUGCACUCACACAUCAAUUUCUAAUGAAGGAAGCAGUCUUCGGCUAAGGAUGGAUGGGGUCUCAUGAGCAAACAACCCACUCCAGUGUUGCGUGUCAUUGAGAGGCAACACAGAAUCUCACAAUGUCCUUAGCAAGAGUAUGUACUAGUCGCUCAAGGCAUUACCUUGCUGACUGCUGCACCAUUUAAUGACUGUUCUCUUUCUGGUCUCCUUUGAUGAGCCCACUGUUCUGUCUUCAUCUCCAAGAUGACCAUUUGCCUUUAAACCCAUGCUUCAAGGUCUUUGCCCCAAGGGAAUCCAGAGCCAGAUACUGCCCUGUGAGGGAGAAAGAUUUUUAUUGACUCCCUUAGUUUAGACCAAAAAAGAAAUGGAACCAGAGAAAGGUUGGCUAACUUGUGGAAGAUGAAAUGGCUGGAAAGAGACAAACCUUGGCAUCAAACUCAGGCUCAAAGUCUGUGUGGCAAACCCACCACUCCUGGGAGAACCACACAAUCACAGAGCGCUCUAGCUGCAUUGCCCUGGCUCUUGGAAACAGACGACAGGGCUAGGCCUCUUCUAAUCCAAGCAUCUCGACCAACAUCACAGAAGCAGAACGAAUAUUACAUGGUUCUCUGACCGUCCACCAUGUUUUAUUUCCAACUGAUCUCUCUCUGAAUUUCCUACUCCAUCAUGUCUGUCUGAGUAAUUUCAGAACCAGAGAUUGGUGAAGACUGAAUUUCUCUGGGCUUUCUUUCCUCUGCACUAAGAGAAAAGUCUAUUGUAGGAAACCGUCUGUGAGAUUCGUUGACUGUUGGCACUAAUGAAAAGAAAAAGAAAAGAAAAAAAAGAAAACUUUCUUCCCUUAAAGCUAUUUCAAAGAUCUUAGAUAAUGAUAGUAGAAAAUAACCCCCAAAAUAAGAAGAGCAAGAUGCAAAAGUUUAAUAUCAGGCCUAUUUUGUCAUCCUGAAAUCUAACCCACUUUGCUUUGGUAGUGAAAUUUGAGCUGUUAUGAUGGGAAACGACGGGAAGUGUCUGUGUUUACCUAAAGAGUACAGUGUUUUCUCAACCCACUUUUUCACCAUGGCAAAGUUUGCCGUUCUUUGUUCAUACCUCAAACAAGUCAAAAUCAUGCUUCUGUUUUCUUCCUGCCUUUCAUGUUGACAAACAGACACAACUGGGUUUUUAAAAGCUAGAAUGGAAGAAAGAAAAAGGGAGGAAGGGAGAGAGAUGGAGGAGAAGAAGGAAAGAAUAAAAGAGGAACAAGUGCCCACAGAGGAGGGUCUCUGGGAUCCCCAACUGGAACUGUAUCAUUGACCACCGGUGAUUAAAAUAUGCUACAGUCAUCCAAUGCCUCAAAGGCAUCUGAGUCCAUCACUCCUGUAAGGAUGUAUCCUAAGCCACGCCCCUCUUCCUCUUCCCAGCAUUCCAGCCAGCAGAGCACUGAGAGAGAGAGAAGAGAGAGAAAGAGAGAGAGAGAGAGAGAUCAAAUCAAUGAGUAGUGAUCCCUCCAUAGCCUUCCAUGUAUUUCUAGGAUUCCCAAAGACAGCACACAUACAAGUGCUCAAGUCCUGUGUAUAAAAUGGUACAGAGCUUGCCCAGAACCCAGAACAUACUCCCACGUGAUUCAAAUGAUGGGAACCUUUGAGAUUAGCCUGGUUGAGCAGUCAAGGCAAGGCCACCACCCUGUCCUGAAGUCCACCUCUGCAGGGUUUCAGUGCGGGUUGUCCAGUUGUCAGGUGUAUAGUGAGCCCUCUAGUGGAUGCAGUUGGAACUCAUCCUGAGCCUCUCAGCCCGUUAGUUACCAUUGUGGGUGCUCACAGCUGCUUUCUAAAGAUGGAACGUGUCCCCCGACCUUGGCCUCCAGCAGCUCACGCCUUAGACUGUCUCUGCCAGGUGGCUUUGGGCUUUGGAGCUACUCUGCUCCCACAGAGAUGUGAAAAUCACAGGAUCUAUGUGUCCCUAGAGCAGCUUUCCACCAGAGCCAUGGACAGUGCACCCAGGGUCAGUGCACCCAGGGUCUAAAGACGCUGCUUGCCUGCUGAAGGGCACCCUGCAGAGAUGCACUUGAGCACCCCCUGUGGGACUUUGUCCUGAAGUCACACCCGGCCCCCUCCCAUUCUACAGCCAUCCCCACCUCUGUCUGUCCCCCCACCCCCACCCCCACCUGGGUGUACUUUCCACUUACAGACGUAUGCCCAUUCCAUGUUGUGUUUCUCAGGAAGACCUCAGACAGCUGCGUGUAAGCCUGGACCUGUAAAGGACUCUGGGGAUUCAAGCAGGGAGUAAGAUACAGCCUGUUUUCCAAGGACUUUAUGGUGUUGUGGACAGAAAGAAAAAUGCAUACAUGAACUAUUCCAGGUUGUAUGUGAUCGUGCUGGAGUGGAAAUGAAAAUAACAGCAAUCUGAGGUGGGGAGGGAGGAUGUGCCAGCUAGUCUUUAUGUCAACUUGACACAGGCCAGAGUGCUCUUAGAGGAAGAAACCCCAAUUGAGAAAAUGUCUCCAUAAGAUCAGGCUAUAGGCAAGCCUAUAGGACAUUUUGUUAGUGAUUGAUGUGGGAGGGUCCAGCCACAUUGUGGAUGAGAAUUCUCCUAGCUUGAUGGUCCUGGGCUCUCUAUGAAAGCAGGCUAAAGAAGCCAUGAGGAGCAAGCCAGAAAGUAGCAUCCCUCUGUGGUGUCUGCAACAACUCCUGCCUCCAGAUUUCUGCCUUGUCUGAGUGCCUGUCCUGACUUCUUUCAAUGAUGAACA